UAUUGUUGUUGACCGAUUAGUUGGGUUUCAAGAUCUCAGAAGUAAAGACGAUUUUCUAACAAGAGCAUUGGAACAUAUUCUUAUUCUCAAGACGAAAGGGAUAAUCGAUGAGAAGAAGAAAGAUGACGAAGAUGACGAUGAAGAAAGCGAGGCUAAGAAUAGGAGGGUUAGGUCCUCAACUGCUCAAGACUGAUUCAGACUGAACCUGAGAUGAGGAUUGAGGACUCACCUUUUUUGCACUUUGGAUUUUGUUUGUUUGUUCUGUGCUGUGCUGUACUGUACUAUAAUUGAUUUGUGUAACCAUGUAUCGGUACCAGACACCACAACAAGAACAUGUACAAGAGAUUCUUUAGCAUCCAUUGUGUGUAAAAGCUAGGGUUUGUGGCUGCCUUUUAUUUCA